rnacentral:rRNA from 1 species
CGCAAAACGGGGAUUAGAUACCCCGGUAGUCCAGGGUGUAAACGCUGCAGACUUGGUGUUGGGGACCCUUCGGGGGUGUUCAGUGCCGGAGAGAAGUUGUUAAGUCUGCUACUUGGGGAGUACGUCCGCAAGGAUGAAACUUAAAGGAAUUGGCGGGGGAGCACCGCAACGGGAGGAGCGUGCGGUUUAAUUGGAUUCAACACCGGAAAACUCACCAAGGGCGACUAUCACAUGAAAGCCAGGCUAAUGACCUUGCUUGAUUCUUAGAGAGGUGGUGCAUGGCCGUCGUCAGUUCGUACCGUAAGGCGUUCUCUUAAGUGAG